AUAUUGAAAGACAUGUCUACGACGCACGUAUCUAGAUUCAAACUUAAAUUGUGGACACACUGUGAUGCAUGAGAAGGGACUUUAUGAAGCAUCUUUGGUCUUAAAAGCACAGAUCACAUAACAGUGCAUAUUUUGUAUAAAAAACGCACAACAUAGCCCAAGAGGAUACAUUGCAACCUUCAACUACGCAAAAAGAAGACCGCCAUGAACAUUUUCACAACGUGCGUUAUUCUUGCUACGCUGUUCAAUGUGAGGUGGCUCCCAGACGGUGAGGCAAGUGGUCUUGCUCUACCAACUUCAAAAGUUGGGCUGUUGCUGCUUUUAUUAUCGGGCUCGUGCCAAUCGCAAUCCAGACGCGCUGAUGACAAUGUAACAGUACAAGAACGAUUUUAUCGCAUGAACUGCUGGAGAAGUAGUUGCUAUCGCACCGGUUUGUGCCCACACCCUUGUGCUUGCCCACCAUGGUGGCAGCGACUAUUUGGCCAAUACACCUGUCGUUAACAAAAAAUUUCUCAAUCUGCAGCAAUUGAAAAUAAAGUGCUCAAAAAAGGUU